CAGCAACUCCAGAGUCCUAUGGAGCAUUCAUCUUGGUUGUCAGCCUUUUCGAGAUGCAUGUGCGCCCUCUGCCUGCGCGCCGCGUGCGCGUCGUGCGCUGCGCCAAAGCGCACAGCCGCACGAACCCUAGCCCCCAACCCGCAGCCGCCACAAUCUUCCCUCCUUACUUCCUCGUCAACACAGGCGCCGCACCCCUCCCUUCUCCCCCUUCCCGCAGCCCCAGGAGCUCCGCCGUACCAUUCGACGAGAUCCACCGCCUCCCGAGGUCCAUAUCCACCCCAGGUCGCGAGGAAGUCGCGGGAGGAGGAGAACCCUCGUCGCAAGGAAGAUGCAGGAGGAGGAGGUCAGCCGGGCGUCGCCGGCCGGAGAAGGAGGAGAGGCGGGGAUGCCAGCCAAGGAGGCGGAUCGCCUCGCCUCUGCUGCACUGUGAGCGCUGCCGCUGCCUCUGCAUCCACCUUGCCCCGCCGUCAUGGGAUGAGGCUCACCAUGGAAGAGCAGCCGUAGGUGCCAUAACAUCUAAAGAGCUGCAGUCGGGUGGAGGUGAGGAUGCGUAGCUCGAUUGACAAGAGCAGGGCAGUGGAUUGGAUUGAGGGCGCCUACAUGGCCACGCCGCUGCUGCCGUCUAGAGUCGCCUUGGGCCGCCGCCUCGAGUGGCCUCCAUCGCCGCCCCGAGUCAAGUCCACCACUGCCGCCAGGAAUCCCGUCCCCGGCAAGCGACCUGCUGAUGUUGCUGCUGUGCUGGCCAGGGAGUGAGUCCACUGACAUACGGACACAAGAGAUAUUCAGUUAUGAGGAUUAUAGGAUAUUAAUGAUAGUUCAGUCAUUGAGGAUUCGAAAAGAGGCAUCAAUGCUCCAGUAGAGGUGGUAUUGAAGUUGUGGCUGUCAAUAGUCCUUAUAUUGAUGCUAACUACAUGGCCUAUAUGUUCAAGUAUGACUCCACUGAUGGCCCCUUUAAAGGAUCCAUUAAGGUCGUGGAUGAUUCAAUACUGGAGAUUAAUGCGAAAAAAAUCACAACCACAAGCAAAAGGUAAAUAUGCCAGGGUUAGCUGAUUAUUUUCCAUAUUAGUGCGGUUGAUAUAGAUGUUGUGGUUUCUAAAUAUGCAUGACAUGUUGUCCUGAAAUAAGGACAUGUGAAGCAAUGAAGUCGCCAAAGUAACAUUAUUACUUAAUAAUUGAUAUAUAGUUUAGAGCCCCAUGUUUUUUGCACAUUCAUACGGACAUAUAAUAGCUUACAAGUGCACGCUUGUUGUACAUCCCGAGUACUGGAUGUUCCUUCUCUUAUUUUGAUUCUGAUGUUCAUAUGUUGAUUUUCUGCGAUGGAGGGAAAGGAGAAGUCUGAAUGUGCCAACAAGUAGCGACCAGUGAGCUAUUGUCUAUGAUUGGCUAUGGGAGGAGUUGUCUUGUGCUGCAUGGGCAUCUUGCAGAUCGAUUUCCUUGGUUUGAUGUAUCUCGGAUUCUGAUUAGUCUUUGAUUUCCCACAUUUGUUUGGAUGUUUUCUUUGCACCAAGCACCAUGCUUUUUGAUCACUGGUCAACUUGCACAGUACUAUCUAAGCAUAGUUGUUGGUUCUGAGCUUUUGCAGCACAUAACAAAUUCUAGCUUUCAAGGAAUUAUGAUAUUGGCCAUUUCCACUGAACAUGAAGAGGGCGCAUGUACGGACAUGUAGAAACUGGAGUAAAUUAACAUAAUCCCGUAGAAUGUAGUCUGGGAAUAGUACGCCAACUCAGUGAGGCAAGUACUGGCCUGUUUUGCCAUCCCUGUGAUAAAUGAAAGUUAGUUUAGGUAAUCUUGGUUAUAAAAUCAUUUUCUUAAAGUUUUAACUUAUAACUGGACAGAAAUUGUUAUUGCACCUGAAUAUUUGAUUAUGAAUCAGUAAGAGGAAAUGGGGCGUUGUUAGGCGGGACCUUGCCACUGUUGCCUUGGGUUUUGGCUUCGAAGCACCACCAUGUAUGGCUAGCCUUCCAUGGCUACAUCGAGGGUCCCAAUCUGCAGGUGAGCUCUUCUUUUCAUCUGCAGGUUAUGACUAUAGUUUGUGAUUCAUGGCUACUAUAGUCCUUCCAUGGCUAAAUCUCCACCUCAAUGAGAUUGUAAUUGUGCCAGAAACAGACUAGGCUAAAUCUCCUCCUCAAUGAGAUUUAGUUUGUGCAUUAACGACUAUAGGUUUCUUAUUGUUUUGGAGUGGUCUGCUUUCAUUUUCUCCAGUUCAGUCAUGUAUUUCUUUGCACCCAUGUUCGCUUCAGUAUUCCCUUCCGAUUCUCACACUUUGGUUGCGGCUUCUUUGUUUAUGUUGGAAGUAUUAGACAGAUAAUUUGUUCAUUUAAGUUGUCUCCUCUUUGUCCUCUUGUGUCACAUUAAAUCAUGGUAUAAUAGAUAAUUCAGUUAACUGAUUGUUUGCCAUAUUAGUGCAGUUGAUAUAGAUGUCAUGGUUUCUAAAUAUGCACGACAUGUUGUCCUGAGAUAAGGACAGUGAAGCAAUGAAGUGGCCAAAGUAACAUUAUUACUUAAUAAUUGAUUCAUAGUUUAGAGCCCCAUGUAUUUCGCACAUUCAUACAGAUAUAUAAUAUCUUACAAGUGUAUGUUGUUGUACAUCUUGAGUACUACAUGUUCCUUCUCUUAUUUUGAUUCUGAUGUUCAUAUACUGGUUCUUACUGAAUUCUGGCGUUGAUUCCAAUUUUUUGCGGAACUCCAGGACCCCGUGCAGUGUGCAUUGGACAGUGUUGUGGAGGGUCCAAUUUCCUCAUGAUUUAAGAAGCUCGGUGUAGUACCAAACAUAAUUUGAGAACACUGGCUUGUUUUGUAGUCCAUUCCCAGCACAUGUGUUCGGAAGACUGGACACUUCUUGUACUUACUCGAAAUUUUCUUUUCAUAAAAAGUUCCUUGGAAGGGAUUGCAAAGUUUAACGAGCAUGUCCCUUUUACAUCUAUUUACAGUGUGUUUUCUUUUGGUUUCACCACAUUUUUAGGUUCACAUUUUUUACAGAUUGCGUAUAUUAUAGGAGGCAUUGAUGAUGAAACAUGAAUGCCCGUUGUUCUUGUCCGCUCCUGAUCUCAGUAGACCUGUGUGAUGUGCUCUUGAUCCUUUCUCUCUUUUUUAUUAAAUGAAUCUCUGACUGAGGAGGACAUGUUCUUUAAUUAGAUUGCAAUCAUGAAACUUCUUUUGGGUUUUCUUAUUGUACAAUACAAAGCUUCCAAAUUGUUUGAUCCUGGAAAUAAGUUAGCAAAUUUCUGUGUGCAGUGAGCUGGGAGCCGGGGUCAUCUGGUACUGUCCUUUCACUCAUUUAACUAUCUUAAUUUGUUCACAAAACUCCUUCUGUAGCUAAGAUUUCUUUGUACAACACGUACUAAUUAUUGGUCUUAUUCUUAAAUCUUAUUUCACGUUAUUCAGCUGCAGGCUGGGUUAAGAUUGUUUUUGUGCCAGAAACAGACUAGGCAAUGCUCUAACCUUGGCAGCAAAAAUUGUCUAAAUUCCGUAAAUAAGGUCGUGGAAUAUCUUUGAAUACGUUCAUUUAAAUAUCUUGAGUUGACCUGUAUGGGUUGCUUCUGUGCACACUCUCUUUGAUAUGAAUUUCUAGGAGAGAAAUUCUUUCAUGGUAAUGAUGUAUUAUUGAUAUUUACUCUGUUUCUUAGGCCUAUAGGUUUCUUUUUGUGGGAUGCAAUUACGGCACCACAUGAAUAUGAUCCUUGAGUUGCAUAUUAUUGCCCUUUUGGACAUAGGCAUGUGCCAUGUAGUAUAACAUUUAUAAAGAAUGUCUUGGAAAUUGUAAGUAGAUGAUUACGGUUACCCUGUAACUUUAGGAGUAAGAUAUAUAUGGUGAUUGAAUCUAGAGAUGCUUGCUAAUCUAUAACAUUAAGAUCCAGUCACGUGCAAUAUGUUUUAUUCACAGAAACAUGGAAUCAAUCUGGCUGAAAGUAAUCAUCUUAUGGCGUGGCAUGAAGAGAUGUGUGCAGAUCUGAGAAAGAAGAGGAAUAAUCCAGCAGAAGAAUUUGGUGAAUAAGAACAAGUUGGCAUUUCUCUCUUGUGAACACAGUCAUGCCUGCCUUUUGAUUUUAUUGUUUGUACUAAUGCAAACAAGAAUUCUCUAUAGUUCUUGACGCAACACCGCUAAUUACUCAAUCUGCAAUACAUGAUUAUUUCUGGGAGAAGUUUAGUGCAUGAAUUAGCAUUCUGUAAAGUCCGUCUAAGCUCAUUUCUCUAGGCCAGGAUAGAUUUCUCAAUGUCAUUUUUGGGAUUGUUUUAACACUGAACAACAUUGCCAGGUCAACCGUUUCUCAUGUCUUUGUCAUAUCUGUAGGUAUUGUGGUGUCUCAAUUUUGUCACCAGCCUCUUUCACCGACCUGUAAACUAUCUGUCUCGAGGUCUCCCUAACUGUAUUUUGGGUUUAGAAAAAUAAAUAACUAUUUUUGGACUUA